rnacentral:rRNA from 1 species
AGAGUUUGAUCAUGGCUCAGGACGAACGCUGGCGGCGUGCCUAAUACAUGCAAGUCGAGCGGAUGAAUCGAAAGCUUGCUUUUGAUUCGUUAGCGGCGGACGGGUGAGUAACACGUGGGCAACCUGCCCUGUAGACGGGGAUAACACCGAGAAAUCGGUGCUAAUACCGGAUAACACGAAAUGUCGCAUGACGUUUCGUUGAAAGACGGCGCAAGCUGCCGCUACAGGAUGGGCCCGCGGCGCAUUAGCUAGUUGGUGAGGUAACGGCUCACCAAGGCGACGAUGCGUAGCCGACCUGAGAGGGUGAUCGGCCACACUGGGACUGAGACACGGCCCAGACUCCUACGGGAGGCAGCAGUAGGGAAUCUUCCGCAAUGGACGAAAGUCUGACGGAGCAACGCCGCGUGAGCGAAGAAGGCCUUCGGGUCGUAAAGCUCUGUUGUUAGGGAAGAACAAGUAACGCAGUAACUGGCGUUACCGUGACGGUACCUAACGAGAAAGCCACGGCUAACUACGCGCCAGCAGCCGCGGUAAUACGUAGGUGGCAAGCGUUGUCCGGAAUUAUUGGGCGUAAAGCGCGCGCAGGCGGUUCCUUAAGUCUGAUGUGAAAGCCCACGGCUCAACCGUGGAGGGUCAUUGGAAACUGGGGGACUUGAGUGCAGAAGAGGAGAGCGGAAUUCCACGUGUAGCGGUGAAAUGCGUAGAGAUGUGGAGGAACACCAGUGGCGAAGGCGGCUCUCUGGUCUGUAACUGACGCUGAGGCGCGAAAGCGUGGGGAGCAAACAGGAUUAGAUACCCUG